ACCUUUCGUAACAACGUAACGUUGAGUAAUACGAAGUAGUUAUUCGCCGAAGCCUUUCUCGUUCGACCGAAUUUCGAGAGGAUAAUCCUUAAGCGAGUGGAGUACCUCUUCCUGCUCCCUCCGAUCGAAAUUGGCCGGUUGCUCGCUAUUACUCUUAGGUAAUAGCCCUUCCCUUUAAAACCGGAUUCUCCGCUGAUACGCAUCUACAGAAUUCGCGGUUAUUAUCGGUGAUAUUUAUUGACGCGAUCUAACAGCAUUUUCCAUAUGCAUGCGUGGCUCGCCUCGGAUAGAUAUGAAAAUUGUCGCGGGAGAAAAAGGUUCGUGGUUAAGUACGAUGUUUCGCUCGGCCUACGAAUAAAACGAACGAACGAGUAACCAUUAAUUCCACCGGUUGCGUCCUAUGGGCUCCUAUGAAUAUAGGCAAGUAACUCCUCUAGAUCUCUUUCCUUCGAACGCGAGCAUUUCAGAGCGAACCGUUUUGCCUUGCCGAUCGGAUUUUUGGAAAUUCUUUCUACUACGAGCUGAGACAGGUUCGUACGGUAGUGUCACGAAUUCUUCGCGCAUAACGCAUCGUCACGCGGAACUCGACGAAAAAUGCGACAGAGUUGGAACAAGAAAUCCUUCGUCGCGAAGACGAACGAUGAAAACGAUAAAAUAUUCGUGCUUCAACAAAAUUUACUACUACGACCGAGAUCGAGAUGAAGGGGGGAAAAAAGAAAAGAAAAGAAAAGAAAAGAAAACGAAAGAGAUAGAAAUAUUACGAUUACGACAAAUAUAACGGAACGUAAAUAAAUUACGUUAGGUAGUUGAUAUUUCCUAUUUCCAUUUUCCUUCGUUCAGAAGAUACGAAAUUUAAUAGGUAUUUCUUGAUUUAUAUCUUAAUUGUUAGGAUAUAAUUUUACGUGAGUUUCCACGUCGUAGCCUUUAAUCUCUCACAGUCAAUAGGUUUAUUUUCAGCGUACGUAAAGGUACGAGCACACCAAACGUUUUCCAAAGCUCGUCGCGCGCUCGUAAAUCUGUUAUACGGUUACAGGAAAUAUUAUCCCGGCGUAUCCUAGGCGUAAGAGAAGGAGGUGGACGCGUAACGCGGAGGACCAGAAAGAAGGUAAUCGCUGCGAUCGACUCUCCGGCGCCCGAGAGUCGUUUGCCGAUCCUUCUCCGUCUUUCUCUUUUUCCUCUUCUUCUUCCUCGUCGUCGUCGUCGUCGUCGUCGUCGUCGUCGUCGUCGUCGCCGCCAUACAAGUCCUAGUAGCAAAAGAAGGAGAGGCAGAAAAAGGAUAAGAGAGCACUUGGUAAAAAGAUGAAGAAGCGUUCGAAAGUGGCGCCGUCAAGUUUGUGUGGAACAUCGCGAAAGAAAGUAUACGCAUGUACUUGGGUAAAAGAGCGGUAGGCAUAAUGAGAAGAAAAAGACAUAUAAUAAAGUUGGCGAUAUCUCUCGAUAAAAUUAUAUUAAAGCGAUGUCGAUAUUUUACACGAGUCUCGUGUCACUCGAUUUUACUUUCGCAAUUUUUUUCAUACUUCACGCGUUGUUUUAUCCAAAUAGAACGAGUAUUUACCAACGACCAAAAGAAAGGUAAUAAAAAUGGAAACGGACGAAUCCUGCUUCGUAGCUCGGUGUAUGUAAAUACCCAUACGGUGGUACUCUAUACAGGCUUUAAAGACAUUUCCUAUUGGCUUAUCAACGAGCCGCAAUUCCGUAUAGCCUCGGGUAGCGACGUGAUAGCUUUGUGGUCGGCUUUUACAUUAUUAAUUACGAUCAGGCAUGCGAGACGUUUCGUACGGGACGGCUUUCUGCGAAACAGGCUACCGAUCAUAAUUAUUCCGCCAAUAGUAAUCGCUCGGAUGGCGUACGUUCCCUCUCCGUCCCACCUACUCCCUGUGCGAAUGCUCGCCCGUUCAUCGAACGACAAUUUAUGGAUCGUUGAACGCAACCGGUGUAAACAAGAGCGUUCGCGUGUCCUGUUCUCUCGAUUAAUAAAAAGAAUAAGAGAAGGUGAGAAAAAUCGAUUCGAAAUUAUUCCAGUCGGACCAACUUUUCCUCGAUGAACCCAACCGGAACCAAAAUUGAGUCUCUCUUACGUAACAAGGCCUUCGAGCGAUAGCGUAUGCGUUAUCAAACGCGAAUACGCCAACGAAUUCUAUCGCACGAGAGAGAGAGAGAGAGAGAUAGAUGAAAAAGAACAUAAAACGCUUAUAGCCAUGUUCGUUUUAUCGACCGCAACGUCAAUCUUCUUCCUCAACUACCUUAUCCCCGUCGUCUCGAUGUUUAUUGUUUCGCUAUAUAGGAGAAAUCGCAAUCACCGAGGGCAAGCUUGGAACGCGCGCGCGCGCGCGUCGUGAUUUACGCGCGUAUGCCUGCUCGAUUUCACGGUACGGCGCGUGUUUUAUGAACUCCUUCGACCAUUCCGCAAAUAGAAGAGAAUCUUGUGCGAGGAGUUUGUACUUGGUGUAGACUCGUUCCGGGACUCCCGCGACGAACCGGUCGUUGAUUAAGGACCGAUAAUCUAUGAUCCUUUCGGAUGCGCGGACACGUUCGUCGUGGUUGCAAACUUUGUUCGUCGCGUCUUUGACAAAUUUUUUGACAAAGGAAAACCUAUGGCAUAGGACGCGCGGAGGACGCACGGAGGACUCGCAGCGCCGUUAUCCUUGGGACGCGAACGUGGAUCGGAAAAUUAUACGCCAGCUAUCCGACGUAAAUGGAAUGAAGUUAUUCGAAAGUCUUUCUUACAACGUUUACGUUACAAGGUAUAAACUCGCGACGAAGUGAUCCGUAGCGAAGCUCCGUAGCGCGCUUACACGUUUACACGUACCUAUACGUAUCUACGUGCCUACGUUCGUGCUUCGUAAAAAGGAUCUCGUAUGGGUUAAAACGUUAAAUUAUAAACGUCUUUCUCUCUCUCUCUCUCUCGUGCGCGCGCGUAGAAACGACGUCGUCCAGAAAGACGAAGAAGAUCAUUUUCGCGAGAAAAGUAGUAAAAAUAAUUGAUUAAAUUAUACCGGUUUCUCUGGAUGUCACAUUCUCCUUCGAAGUAAAAGGAGAAACGAAAUCUGAAUAUCAAUGCCAUGGGAUUGAACCCUUUUGAAGAAAGGGAGAAGAGGAAGAGAGAAAGGACCGAUAGAAAAUGCGCGCGCGCGAAUGAAGAGUGUAACGAUCGAGUCGAGAAGGACAUUUGCGUCUACGAAUCGCAGCACGCAUCUAUAUUCCAAGCGUAGAGAAGAGAAUCCAUUCGUCGUUAUCUCGGAGAAUCACUUUUCUGAAGAGCUAGAAAGAAGAAAGGAAAAAAGAGAAAGAAAAUCGAGCGGACCGGCGAGCUGGCUGCGCAACGCAUCUUAAUGUCCCGGUCGAUAACGCGAGAGUAACGCGAGUAAACGAUAAUAAAAAUAUAUUACGUCUAUAGCUCGACGACGGACCGCUCGUCCUGCACCGUCCUCUCGUUGGCCAGCUAAUCUAAAUAUCGAUUCCUUCUCUUCCAGAAAGCUACGCGUCUCUCUCUCUCUCUCUCUCUCUCUCUCUCUCUCUCUCUCUCUCGGAGGGCAUCAUACUACGUCCGCGGCGUCCGGUGGAAUAUCUCAUGCUAUGAGAUAUUCCAUUGUAUGUAGGUAUAGCCAAGACGCGUAGCAACGUUGUAAAAAAAAAAAGAGGAAAAAGAAAAUAAUAGUCGGAGAAGAAAAGCUUGCUUCCGCGAUUUCGCCGCGAGCAACGAAAGCGUAUCCCCCUCCUCGUCGUCGAUUUGUCCUAUCGCGCUUGUCGGAUCUGCAUUGCAAAAUUCGAACGAGCCUCGCGCAUCUCGGCUCGUAUCUCGAUGCAGCGCUAUCGGUUGCGGAUGCAAGCAUCAGGGUCGAGUAAGAUAGCAAGGAGAAUUUAACGGAGGCAGACAUAUUCGUAGCUGUCUUGGUUAAGGUAGGUGCACGCGCGCGAGCGUCUCCAUGUAAACGAGCAGUGCCGAGCUCGGACGUUUCUGCACCCUGUGGCAUGCGUCGAGAUAACCAGAAAAGCUUCCUCUUUCAUUCUUUUCGAUCUUAUCUCCGCUUGUAUCCCUUUCGAAUGUCUUCUAUCCGCCAAGGAGAUCGCCGCUACUCUUCGAUUAUCAUAUUUUCCUCGACGAAUCUACUAACCUAUGGAACUUGGAUUCUCUCCAACGAGAGAUCAUGGAAGAGGCCUCCCAAAUCUCACUUUUACUCGAGCUCGAUCCAAACGAGAAUCUGCAUAGGAGAAUCCAAGCCGGAUCUCGAUGCGCCCUGACGAAUGUCAUUCAUUAUCGCAAUUCCUUAACGGCGGACGCAUUCACUGGUUCUAUUAAAACGAGCUCCAUUCAAUGUCUCGACUAUCGUCGCCAAUAGUCACGACAAUAAAGAUCGAAAAUAUUCUUUCUUUUUCUUUUUCUAUCAUAGAAAAGCAUCGUCGGCAAAUGCAGGAGCGGUAAUAUCGGUGAUCUCUUCUGGUAGCUGAAUCCGGUGACAACUUACCGCAAUAUCGAGAACGUUGGUAAACCGUCACGCGUGCACACACACGGACGAAGGGAAAGACACACGUGCGUUCGAUAGAGGAUCUAAAAAGAGAGAGAGAGAGAGAGAGAGAGAGAGAGAGAAAACGUCGACUGUGGACGCAUCGACGGCCAAUGCGAGCGAACGUAAAUCAUAACGCAUAACCAUUCGUGGUGCAAGCUCCACCUUCCUUCGAUGCACGCUUACGUAUGUGCGUACGUCCAUGCGUCGUCGUCCUAGCCGUGCUAGUCUUCGUCUUGGUCGUUGACGGUGGCUACGAUACCAUUAUCGCCUUUUCCGUAUCCCGCGUUCUCGCUAGACGGCUAAUAUAUUUUCCGGCGCUUUAAUAAUAAUCCGCUAUGCUCGGGUUAAAACGUCGACUGAGGAUGAAUUAUUGGAUCGAGUCGAAUCGAAUCUAGCCAUGCUUAGACAUUCCUAUCCUCGACUACUAGUUGCACCGAGAGUGCAUUCUUUCCGUCCUUAUUCUACUCUUUUUCAAAGGAGAGAAAAGGAAGAGGGAAGAGAGAGAGAGAGAGAGAAAUAGGUUUUUACCCAACGACGAGAGGCAGUUCCGUCUCGUCUUUCCUUCUUUUCUUGCCUUUCGCAUGUGCUCCGUCUCGAAGAAUGUCGCAGGUGCUUCGUCCCGAAGGAAAAGAAUCGGUCGAUCGAUCGAUCGGUACUCCGCUAGAUCGCUCUGAACGCUUUUUGCACGAUCCGAGACUCCAAAGGAACGAGUUCCCCUUAACGCUCCAAGCAUUGCAAAUUUUGCGAGUCCUUGCUAGAGGGGCUCCUACGAAUCGACUAGCUUUUCCUUCUUCCCCUAUUUUCUUAUUCUCUCGUUGGAGAAAAAAAAGGAAAAUAUUUUCUCGCGUCGAGAACGAAACGAAAGUUUUCUUCUGGAAAAUCAAGUUGCUUCUAAAAUUUGCAUAUGAAAAAGUAAAACUUGCUCGAUAAUAUCGCUCGAUAUAAUAUCAUGUAAUCAACGGACGAUCGUUGAUAAGGGAAGAAGUAAAUGGGAAUAAGUAGAAAUCGUUUGCGAGCGACAAUGCGAUACUGCGGUACUGGCGCCGUAUCGUUGAGAAGGAAAUUAUUUAUCGCUGAUCCGACAAGAAGUAUUACCGUGGAAUACAAGCGACGUUUAUUAGCUCAGGAGCAAAAAUAAUGUUCUACAUACUCAUUUAAUGUAUAUUAAUAUCUCAGCAGAGAUAUAUACAUAUAUAUAUAUAUAUAGAAAGAGAGAGAGAGCAUCGUCGAGAUGAUCGAACAACCGAUUUAAUAUAGCGUUGCACUCGAGCUCGCAUCGGAUCGUCUCGAAUUUCUAUUCGUAAAUGUCAUCGCGUCGGUAUCGGAGAAAAGAAUACGAAUUUCUCGAAUAUCCGCAAAAACUUUCCUCUCCUUUCCAACCAUUUUUUCCUAUGGACUGUAGAUAAAUAAUUUGGUCGCGACUUUGAUUCGUGCAAAAUCGAUCGUGCCGAUCUGACAAAAGAAUCCAAGGAAAAUUUUUAACCGACCAUUUGUCGAGGAACGAACGAAGAAACCGGUAGCGAUAAAUCAUACUUAGCUUCUACCAACGCUUAUAACUCUGAUAGGCGCGCGGCGCGUAUCUCGACGAAGAGACGAUGAAAAGUCCUCGGCAAGGCUCGCAGAACACCGAGCAGAGAGGAUCAUCGAUUUACGAUAUCCUCGGCCCAUCUCGAUCCGAUCGAUGCCGCUUCGAUCUUUACGCAUCUAUGUACCCACCCAUAUCUAUAAAUAUACGUUUAUUUAUACGACUCUCUACGAUCGGAAAUUGGAUUUUUAUCCACGGCGAGUUUCCGUUCCCGCAGCCUCUUAUUCUACCCUCAGUUUUUUCUCCCUUAAGAAGGAGAAAUGGAAAGUAUUUUGGAAAGGCCAAGAACCGUCUGAAAUCUCGAGGCGGAGACUCACGAACGAUGCGCAGCGGUAUUUUUAGACGUUAAAAUCGGUCCAUAAAUUAAAUCCGCAAAAGGACCAAGCGACCGAGCUAAAUGGAACGACGAGCUAUGCUCGUUUCGUUCGAGGUUCCUUUCAAAUUUUUUCCACUUUUUCCUCCUUCUCCUUGAUUUACUCCUUUUUUCUCCUUCCCCCUCCCCACCUCACGUCUCUAUCUUGCUUCAACGAUAAUUAAGGAAGCGGAAAAUUUAUCCGUAUUUUUUUUUCUUUUUUUUUUUUUUUUUUUCUUUUUUUUCCAUUAUUAUUAUUAAAUAGCGUCAAAAAUUCGGCUUUACGGAUAUCUUGGAAAUUGAAGUGGCUGGUUAGCACUAGAGAGAAGAAAUAUAAAUGGUAAUGUUUUUGAAGAAAUAAUAAAAAAAGUGUCGAUCCUCGCACGUUGAGAUCGAUCGUUUGGCCGAAAGGUCAAGACUAUAUUCCCGCGCGCGCGCGCGCGCGCGAGGGAAUCGUCUUUUUUUCUCUUCGACUUUUUUUCACUUUUUUCGCGUAGAAAAAGGUCUAUGGAGGGUCUGACGCUAUAAAUUAAAACGUAUCCGCGCUGGCGAGAUAGCCGUGGAAAGGACACUCCGUCGAUAAAAUUAUAAUUUUAUUGCACGGUGGGUGCUAUUUUUAUCGGCGACGUAUGUAGGUACGCUAUCGGGUAUAUCGCUUUCUGAAAAGAAACACGCAUUCACGAACGAUAUAUUCUUUUUCCCUUCGCGUCUGGGUCGCGCGCGUUCGUUCGUUAACGAUUAAAAUUUCCAGCGCCUUCAUGAAGUCUCGCCGUGAAGUCGGAUAAGAUACGUCCGUAUAUUUACAAAGGUGCCUUUCGUCCGAGCAUUUUUUCUUUCCUUUUUCUUUUUUAUUGUUGCUUUUUUCUCUUUUCGUUUUUCGUUUUUUCUGUUUAUCUUAACAUUUUUUUUACUCUCCCUCACUUUUGGAACGUCCUCUUGGAUUUUUUAUGUCACGGCCUUGGAAGAUUCGAAAAACACGGACGAGCCCAUGAUCGAUAAUAAACUUUUAAAGGAUUGCACAAGAUCUCGGGAGUUUAUUCUCUCCGAACAAAUCCAUCUUUAGCUGAAAAUAUUUGAAGCGAUCAUCGUCCGAGUUAUUAAGAAAAACGGGCGUCCACCGAGCUGCUCUCUCACGAGAUCCGAUCGCUCCCGUGUACUUUCAUCCGUAACCCAAUUCUUUCUUUCGCUUUGACUCGGUUCAACGGCUCUCGAAAUGGUCGUAACGAUCUCUCAUCCUCUAAUCGCGCAUUCCGAACCGUUACGCGCGGCUACUAUCGAAUUCAAGCGAAAGUUUCGUUGCGUACGAAACACGAGCGAUUUCAAACGGCCAUUGCCGUUAGGAACUAACCGAAGGAAGCUUCGAGCCGAUCGAUCGGGAAAACUAAACGUGGAAUAAAAGACAAAAAAAGAGGAAGAUGCGAUUGGUCAAAGUUCAAAACUACACUUGGAAGAAAGCUUUCGCUGAGAGUACCAACGGCGUCCAGUUCUCACCCUGGCAGGAGAUUUCGGGUAAGGAGUUGGUUGUUGGCCACGUACUUACGUAUGACUAUUCUAUACAGGUAGAAGUGUUUGAGGACAGGUGAGAGAAAAGGAAAAGUGUCUGCGAACUGGACGACCCAUGGGGCAGAGAGAGAGAGAGAGAGAGAGAGAGCUAGAUCGCCAUCGUUUAGGAAUAAAGGAUGAAAGAUAAGGGCAGUUCGAGGAAAAAGGGAGAAAGAGGAAGAGGAGCUGGCCCGUAAGAAAUAACGAAAGGGAAAGAGAGAGGGAGCCGCGCGAAACUGACCAAUAGAUCCGGUUUAGCCAGUUUCCGGAUUCCGUGGGUCAUCGGGAUCGAGCUUUCCCCUUUCUCAAGCGGUACCAUCCUCCGCUCUAUCGCACGGGUUGUCCUCCCUCGUGGAAAGGUCCGCUAGCGCAACCCCUUUUCUCUCUCUCUCUCUCUCUCUCUCUCUCUUGCUCGCUCGCUCGUCCACUAGUCGCGUUGUCCAUCCGCAUACAUUAACUGUCCAUCCUGCGAAGAAAUCCGGUUUUGCGACAAUAAGCGAUGAUAGGGGCUGGACAGGGAACCCUUGGAAUCGUCAUAGUUACGACGUUUCCUUUGGGGAUGACCAUCACCUAUCCAACGUCGUUACUUCUUCCUACGGUGGGAACGAAAACCUGAUCGCGGGAGUCUUUCUAAAACUUUGAAGAGCAUUCCCAACGAGAGAAUCGUUUCGAGUAACGACAUGGACGCAUACGUUGCGAAGCAGAAGAGGAGCAGAACCGAAGCUUCAUUCUUUCGACGGAGGGUGCCGUGCAAAGGGGGGGAAAAAUAUAUAUACAUAUACAUACAUAUAUAUAUAUAUGUGUGUGUGUGUGUGUGUGUGUGUGUGUGUAUGUAUAAGAAAAAGAUGAAAAAGAAAAAAAAGCGGAUCGACCGGACAGUGGCCACGAGCGAGUCUCCGUCUUCUUUCAUUUUUGGAAGGAGGAACAAGUUCUCCUAAUUCGAACCGGUACGAACGUGCAACGUCUCGUUUCGCGCGGAAAAAUCCAAAGGGGAAUCUUAAAGAAAAGACUUUUGGAAGGGAAAAGAGACGGAAGGAAGAAUAAAUAAAUGCAUGGACCGUUGCUGUCCGAGGACUUUGUGCGUCGUUGAACGCGAACGACGGUUACGCAGGAUCGUUAACCGUCUUGUUUUUAACGUUUCUACUUAUUUACUCGUCCAGCUGGCGUAGACAUUACUAGAAGAGACUUUGAGGAUGACUACACGCUGGAUUCAUCGAGCACUAUCAGAACGUUGAAACGUACACGCGAUCGUUGGAUGCCCGCACGAAGUCGAUACGGACAGGAUGCCGCCGUCCGUCGUCUGAGGAACAGGAGAAAGGGAAGAAACGAAGGGAGGAGAUCGAAGGAAGCUACGAUCUUUUCAUUCGGGGCGCGAUAAACGCGCCGCCGACUUUUGCGGUGAAUAAAAUGUAAGGAAUCCGCUCCUUUUGCAUUAUUUAUCUCUUUCUUUGUC